GAUGAACGCUGGCGGCGUGCCUAAUACAUGCAAGUCGAGCGAACAGACUAGGCGCUUGCUCCUCUCUCGUUAGCUGCGGACGGGUCAUUAACACGUGGAUAACCUACCUAUAAGAAUGGGACAACUCCGAGAAACCUGCGCUAAUAGCGCAUAAUAUAUCGAACCGCAGGGGUCAAUAGCGAUAGACGGUUUUGCGGUCACGUAUAGAUGGAUCCGCGCCGCACUAGCUAGUUGGUAAGGUAUAGGCGUGCCAACGAAACGGUGCGUAGCCGCGGUAAGAGGGUGAUCGGCCACACUGGCAGUGGGACACGGUCCAGACCCCUACGGGACGCAGCAGUAGGGAAUCUUCAGCCAUGGGCGCAAGUCUGCCGCAGGAAUGCGGAGUGCGUCAUGAAGGUCCUCCGAUCGUAAAACUCUGUUAUCAGGGACGACCAAAUGUGUACGUACCUAUGCACGUCUUGACGGUACCUAGUCAGAAAGCCAGGGCUAACUACGUG
rnacentral:rRNA from 1 species